AAAUCUUCAUAGUUUCCCUACCAAAAAUCUCGAAAGGAGGAAGGGAGAGUUUUACCUGGUGUUCUAUCCUCGGGUCAGCAGUGCAUAUUUUUCCUUGUGAUGAAGAGAGAAGUUAAAACAUGACUGCUCGUACCUACCGAAAACUCUUUCUGAUGUCUGUCCCUUUAAGUGCCCAUCUGUUCUCAAGUGCCUGCUACCACCAUCCCUCCUACCAUGUGGUUAGAGACACGAUGGAAGAACAUCCGCCAAACCUUGCUGCUUCUGUUCACCUCUGCUCUUCUCAUCGGGGUCACCAUGCUGGCCAUUUCCUCUAACAUCAACCCAGUAGGCUAUUUCUUCCUCGGGGUAGGGGGAGUGUGCCUGGUCGGCUAUUUGCUGAGUGUGUUUGUCGAGUGUUACCUGAGGAAUCAACACCGGCGUGACGCAAAUGAAAUACCUCCAAACAGGCAAAGCCAAGCAGGGGUGAAUGCUGCCUAUGAAGCACCCACCUAUGAGGAGGUGAUGACCAUGUCAGGUCCAGCCAUAUGGACAAUUACAUCCAACCCAGGCUCUGUGCCCUCACCGCUGAGCGAGCCUCCCCCGUACGACGUUGUUAUUGAAUCCUCUGCCCAGCAAGACAUGAUGGUGGAGGCUCUCUGGGGGCCAGUGCCACCAGACACAGGGCACACUUCUGAGACAGACACAGGCUUCAGGACACAGCUGCAGCUGGUGCUGCCUCCAAGACUGCAGCGGUUUGUUUCAGACAUCCAUGAGAACAAAGGAGUAGAAGAAAGGUUUGAACCACUGGAGCCACUCACUCCACCACCUGCUUAUGAGACUGCCAUCAGUGAUGAGGUCUUUGCAGAUGCUCACCAGCCCUCUGCAUUAGGACUGAUUUCACCUUCCAUGAAUACAGAACCAAACCCCCACCUCAAUACAGGAUGUUCCUAGAGGGAUGGUAAAAUGGCUGAUAAUGUUUUGCCUAAACGUUUGUCUCACAACUCUUUCAACCAGAAUUGAACUACAGACACAGCUUCUGAUGUUACCAGAAUCUUUUUGCACAAAACAGAAAUCAAUGCAAUACCACACUGCUUUGACUUGACAGAUACAUAAAACGACUGUGAGGAAAGUUGUGUUAUGUAUGGCAACAUUCUCAAACUGGAGAUACACCUUUAUGGAAGAGGAGAAGUAAAUCCUGAGAAGAGACAAGAUUGCCAAAAAACCUCUGAAGAAGGACUGUAGAACGCAGCCAGAAGAAUCUGCCUGGAAAAGUGGAGGAAUAGAAACAACAUUAAUCACAUUCUGCCUGUGCAUUGCAAACUGCAAUAUUGCUGAGUGCAGCGUGAUUUCAACCACCCUGAAAUCCCUACAGAGAGAACAAGCCUGUGCUCCCCACCUUGCUGUUUUGCAGCAACACAAAUUUAUGGUCUGAGCUGUUUCUAUCCCUUUGCUACACCUGCUCCACAUCCUCACCUGUGCUACAUAGGAGUGUGACUGAGGGGAGAGCAUCUGACUGCAUUUGGAAGCUGGUACCACCUGAUACCUAUCACUUUGGGUUGAAAAGCUGAUAGUAUGCAUCAAAUGACUUCUGUUGUUCACAAAGUUCUCAUCCCACACAGCCAGUGGUGGACAAGAGGGAGAUAAGUUUUCCCUGUGCAAGAGAGGCCAGCGAUGGGAUAUGUACACAUGUAAGCAUCCUCUGCUUGGACUUCAUGGCUCUACAGCAGGGUUUAUGUCUGCUGUAUUACAGAUGUACUCUAACAGAUGGCAUGAGACACUUUACUGUCAUUAUGCACAGAAAGGCCAAAACUCCUCCAGUUCUCUGUGGGCUCUGGAGAGGUCCAGUCUGUCUGUCAAGGCAGUGGAGUGCCAGAGGACAAGGCUCCCAAGAUAUAUUUGGCCUUCAUCAUGAUGGUUCUGGGCUGUAGGCGUGUUCUAGCUCUCACUGAUCAGUGAUGCUGUGCCUUUUUAAAUGGGUGAGCUAAACUGAUCAGCUCUGCAAUGUCAAAGUGGUCUGCAGUAUGCAAAGAGAUGCAUUUGCAUCUAGUGAAUGUCCAAAAUAAAAAAUAAAAAUGCUGGAAUGAAUCUCCUGUG
rnacentral:lncRNA from 1 species